CCUGGGGGGCGGCGGCGGCGGCGGCAGCGCAGGCGGCAGAGGCGCAGGCGGCGGAGGCGGCUGGGGGGUCCGGAAGUCAACACCAUGUCAAGUCUGCACAAGAGCCGAAUUGCAGAUUUCCAGGAUGUCCUGAAGGAGCCCUCAAUUGCAUUGGAAAAGCUGCGGGAACUCAGCUUUAGUGAUUCUCUUGAACUACCUUCCCUUGGAGAGAGCCUCAUGGACCUCCAUCCUGGCCAAGCAGAGGGAGCUGUAUGCCCAGUUCCUGAGGGAAAUGAUCAUCCAGCCUGGCAUUGCCAAGGCCAACAUGGGUGUGUCCAGGGAGGAUGUGACUUUUGAGGACCAUCCACUCAACCCCAACCCUGACAGCCGGUGGAACACGUACUUCAAGGACAACGAGGUGCUGCUGCAGAUCGACAAAGAUGUCCGGAGGUUGUGCCCAGACAUUUCCUUCUUCCAGAGGGCCACUGACUACCCUUGCCUCCUCAUCCUGGACCCCCAGAAU
rnacentral:lncRNA from 10 species